UGAGAAUGUGGUUGUAUGCUCUGUAAAUGCUGAUUGCUCUGACAGUCUGAUUUGUUCCUUAUACUUUUCAGCUAUUUUUGUUGAUUUGGAAGUAAAUGCUUGAGCUUAAUAUGAUAUCCAUUUCCCUUUCAUUUUGAAGGAAACUGCAUUUUUUCUGUUUUUGACUGUAACCUAAUUGAAUACUACAGCUGCUGAGGGCCUUCAGACAUAGCUCUUUUUCACCACUGAGAAGACAAGGUUAGCUCAUAUCUUUCUAUUUUUGUGCUUCGUCUGUUCUCAUCUAAAUCUGCUUCUUUAUGUCAUGCCCUUCUUCAAUUCUAAUUGUCACAUUGUUUCUGAGAAUGUGAGGAAGCCAGGAAGUAUUGCAAACGCAGUAAGAAGUUCACCAAAGUAACAAUUCAAUCUUUCCAAGAAACUGGAAAAACAAUACCCAUUUAGGAGGAGAUGGAAUGCCGUAUUACAAUUCUGAGUUUGAAAAUAAGCCUUUUCCCCAGGAGACUAAGAAUGACUUCCUCCCUAAUCCUGGUACACCUAGUUGCCAUUAUGAUUUGCAGGAGUCGAAGAAGUCUGGAACAAUUUUCAGAGGGUGAUUCCGGUGAGCGUAAAACGAUGUAGAUCAAGAUGUAAAAGAACAAGAUUUGAAGAGUGAGCUGUAAGACUUUCGAGAAUAUUUUUAAAAAAUACAAUUUACCUUAUAAUAUUUAUUACAGGACAAAAACACAUAUUUUAUAAGAAGAGAGAAAUAAGGGAUAAAUUCUCUGCAUAUCCCCUAAAAGUUGCAUACAAAUCUUGCAUUUGAUAACUACAUAAAUGGCUGGUGUGGAGACUGCACCGUAAGAAGUUACAUUAA